rnacentral:rRNA from 1 species
AUGGGUAACCACCAGAAGCUCCUCAACUUCCUCCGGCCGGAGCCGGCCGCGGUGGCCGCAUGCUCGCCGAGGUCCUUCUCCUCCUCCUCCGCCUCUGUGUCGGACGAUGACGGGUACAGCUGCUCGUCCUACCCCACCACGGACGGGGACGCCUCGCCGUCGCGCUACUGCGGCUCCUCCACCCCGCCCACGCCCAGGUCGCCGUGGGCGCACCUCCCGGGCCUCGGCGCCGGGGGCGCCGUCGCGGAAUCGGGGGCCACGGGCCUCAUCGCGUCGCUGGUCAAGGAGGACGGCCACGUCUACUCGCUGGCGGCGACCGGGGACGUUCUUUACACCGGAACCGACUCCCGGAACGUGCGCGUGUGGCGGGACCAGCGCGAGCUCGCCGGGUUCAGGACCGCCAGCGGCCUCGUCAAGGCCAUCGUCGUCGCCCACGACGGCCGCAUCUUCACCGGUCACCAGGACGGCAAGGUGCGCGUGUGGCGCGCCGACGCGGACAACCCCGCCGUGCACCGCCAGGUGGGGUCGCUCCCCAAGCUCAAGGACUACCUCAAGAGCGCGGUCAACCCCACCAGCUACGUCGAGACGCAGCGCAAGGGGCGCCAGCGCGCGGUGUGGCUUCGGCACUCGGACGCCGUGUCCUCCCUCAGCCUCGACGAGGGCGCCGGGCUGCUCUACUCGGCCUCGUGGGACAGGACCUUCAAGGUGUGGCGCGUGUCGGACUCCAAGUGCCUCGAGUCCGUCAGCGCGCACGACGACGCAGUGAACACCGUGGCCGCCGCCGGGUUCGACAGCGUCGUGUUCACCGGGUCCGCCGACGGCACCGUCAAGGUGUGGCGGCGGGAGACGGCCGCGAAGGGCGACGCGACGAAGCAUGUCCUGGAGAAGGUGCUCAGGGAGGGCGAGAGCGCGGUCACCGCCAUCGCCGUGUCGCCCGAGGACCGCGUCGUCUACGUGGGCUCGUCGGACGGGCUGGUCACCUACUGGUACUGGGUCGACGGCGAGGCGAGAUACGGCGGCGUGCUCAAGGGCCACAAGAUGGCGGUGAUGUGCCUGGCGGUGGCCGGCAACGUCGUCGUCAGCGGCUCGGCCGACCGGACCCUCUGCGUCUGGCGGCGCGACGGGGCAGAGCACGUCUGCCUGAGCGUUCUGGCCGGACACACCGGACCCGUGAAGUGCGUCGCCAUGGACGAGGAGGCGGCCGCCGGUUCGGGCGGGGAUCGGCGGUUCGUGGUGUACAGCGGGAGCCUCGACGGGUCGGUCAAGGUCUGGCGCCUGUCGGACGCACAGGCUGCACCGUCGCAGGCAUGGAGCGGCCGGCCGGCUCCGGCGCCGUACGCGGAGGCGUGGGCGCCGCCGUACCAGACGGUGGCGAAGCCGAAGCGCGUGGCAGCGGCGUGA